rnacentral:lncRNA from 1 species
UCUAUUCAAGAUGACAGAUUUUGGAUAGCUUGUUGUGAGAUGAUUUCAUCAGGAGCUAUUACUCUAUGUGAUUUUUGUAAGAAUCUCCUCUGCUAAAUUGAGCAUGUUCAGUAAACGGCAUUACCCCUGAUCAUAUAUUAGGCAAGAGCCUUACUUCAUGGUUGGCCUAGUUCUUCAUUUAGUUUCAUGGCUUAUCCUAGAGUGUAAACCGAUUUUAAUUUGGUAUUGUCAUAGAAUGUGAUUCAACAGACAUCUUUAAAAGACAUCUUCAAAGCGGCGUUAAAUUAUCUCAUUUCUAUAUCAUCUCAUUUCAUAUAUUUUUAUGUCUUGGAGUACUAAGUGCUGGUAAAAAAAGGGAGUCGGUUAAGCUGCGUUUUUUUACUAGAUCUCCGUCAUUUAUUAAACUGCUUUUUUUGACUGAGUUCUCAUGUGGUUAUACACACCAUUGUGAUUUACUUUUGAAUUUUUGUAAAGAGAUGGAGCAAGGCCUGGAGUUUUGUGAAGUAUGCGGAAGUUUUAAGAGUUGUUGAAGGCCUAUACUUGUGCAUCAAACUGGAGAUAAAGCUAAAAUUCAAGAUCAAGAAGUAAGUGGGCAUGCCAGCUAUCUGAGACUUGUGCAUCAAAUUUGAGGUAAGGUUAAAUUUUAUGAUAUACAUUUUCAUAUUUGUUUGUUUGUUAUUAGAUAAAAAAAUGUUUAUUAAAGUUAAAUAAGGACUAAUACAUUUGUUUGGUUUAUUCAAUGACUAUGUUUCAAAUGGUGACUGAUACAAAAUUGUUCAAUAAAGUUAAAUACACAAAAAAAAAUCAGUAUCAAACUACAAAUAAAUAGUUAUUAUAGAAAAUAAAAAAAAAUAGAAAUUUAAAAUUUUUAUGAACAAACACCAUUAAAAAUCACAUCAUUUCAAAAAAUAGUGAUGAAGAAAGAAUUGUUUAUAUCAAUGUUUUAAAAAGUUGGAUCAGAGGUCGAACCGGUGAAAUAUAUUCGGUUUAAAAUUCAAAUUGGUAAAAUCUAUAAUCAAGCCGUUUAUUAAAUAAAUUAAUAAUAUGAAAUCAAAUUUUAUAUAUGUCACAUAAUAUAUUUACAACUUAUUAAAAUAAAUAAUUUAAAAAUUUAUUAUAAAUUUAGUACAAUAAUAUCAAUAAUAAUAUGAAAUCAAAUUUUAUAUAUGUCACAUAAUAUAUUUACAACUUAUUAAAAUAAAUAAUUUAAAAAUUUAUUAUAAAUUUAGUACAAUAAUAUCAAUAAUAUAUAUAAUAAUAUAACAUAACGGUUUACUUAAUUUCAAUCUUUAUUUAAAGAUAAUUUCUCUUUGUGCUUACUUACAAUGCAUCGAGCUUGGUACGAACUUUGCUCUGUAGCUAAAACUGCCUUUGUUAACUCAUGUUAUCAUGCACAUGUUGGUUCACAGUGAUUUCUCUUUGUGCUUACUUACAAUGCUAUUAGCAGUAUAUAUGGUGUUUGGGAGCUUUGGGAUUUAUAUAAGCAUUCUCUAUUCAAGCUGAAAGAUUUUUGAUAGCUCUUUGCGACAUGAUUUCACCAGGAGGAGCUAUUACGGUGUGUGAUGUUUGUAAGAAUCUCCUCUGCUAAAUUGAGCUCUGUUAAGUAAACAGCGUGACGAGCCUUUUGUCAUGGUUGACUUAGUUCUUCAUUUAGUUCCUAGAGUGUUAAC